rnacentral:lncRNA from 13 species
CUCUGUGUGGACAGCCGUGAUGAAGGACACUGGCUGGUUCCCCUGGAGUCUCCGUUGCAGGCCCUCGCCAUUUCAGCUCCCAGGGACCCCCCAAUGAGCUCAACUGGGGCCCCUUUCGUGUCAUUGCUAAACAGAGGCUCCCCACUGAUGGCACAAGGUACUGGAGGGGUAACCGAUGGAGCAAUGCAACAAAUUUGGCAGUUAACCCAGCACCAACCGCUGCCAUGUUUGAACGGUUGCCACAGUGACCAGGAGGCCCACACGCGGAAAAUUUGUGUCAUGUCAACUAGCCCCAGGGACCACUGUGAAAGUGCAGAGAGCAGAAAAUGUGGCUUGAGUUAGCCAGGCGGAUUAGCACUGAGUGCCUGACGAGGAAAACUACAAUGCAUCACUUGAAGGUUUACGUUUUCUCUCUCAAAUGUUUUCAUGUUUUUUGCGGUUGUGCUUCAUUAGGAUGACCAACGUAACAUUCUGGGAUUUUACAUUGUGUGGCAUGACAGCUCUAAGACUCAUUCGGUGGUAAAUGUUCAGCAACAUGCUGAUUUUGACUGUGAAUUACAGGUAAUGUGACUAAACCAUGAUGUUAAGGGCUUCUCAGCACACUUCAGCUCAGGUUGCAAAGUGCCCCCUAACCGCAGAUUUAAAAUCAGAUGUAUGCAAUGUCAUCAAAUGUCUAAAUAUUUAGUACGCAUGGAAAGGGGGAAUUUGUGCAUGUUUAGAGCACCACCAUUAGGUAAAUGAUCUGAGAAUUUGUUAUUGUUUUGGGAACAGUAAUUGGUGACAUGUUUUAUCUAAAACCUUUCAAAUCUCUUAUUCCUCAACAUGGGGACAAUUGGGGGUACUCCAACCCUCCAAAUAAAAAAUACAUUUAAAAAACGGUACAUUUCAGGUUUGUUUGGUCUGCUGUAUCUCGGCCUCUGUAGUAGUUGUUUUGUUUUUGACACUUUUAUCUGAAUCCCACAGUUCUUACCUGUCUAAGAGUACUAAGCAUGUGUUUAUAGUUUUAAAAUCAAAAUGUACUUUAUGAGGGUAGUAUACAAUAUUAUGUGUCAUUUAGAAAAUGCCACCAGAGGGGGUCAGAGUUUAAGAGGUUUUAACCUACACCGUUACUAGGUAAACAAAAUAAACUGGAGGUGGACCAAUUGUCAUAGCAUACCCUAUAAGUGCAAUAAAUACAUUUAAAACAUGGAGGCUGAAGAAAUAACAUACAGUAGAAGCAUCGUAAAUAAAACUGGAUUUAGAAAAAAGUCAGUAGCGACUUGUACACAUUUGCACUUAUAACAUAACUUAACUCACGGUAACUACCUUAAAACUUGAAACCUUUCUAGUGCUGUGGGGUGAACUCUACACUACAGUAGGGAUCUGAGCUGUCUGUCAGGGUGCCAUGCCCCAGGUUAGACUCAAGCAGGCAGGCAGGCAGACGUGUGGGGUAGACUGGAUCCCACCCCUGAGCUGCAGCUCUCAAAUCAACCCACAGAAAAUAAACGCUGCACUGCCAAAGGGACUCGUUUAUCAAAUCUGAAAUUGCACUCAUAGGGCAAAAUAACCUACAAUUACCAGCUAGAAAUUAACUUUUCAGUCAGCCAUCCAGAAAAAGAUCAUAGGAUAUCCUACAAAAGGGAAUUAUUGUAAACCCCUGGCCUCCCCCUCCCACAACCCCAUACAUUCCAACAACUCCCCAUUUACUUAGAAUGUCACAAACCUGCAGUCCCAUAAAAGUAGGGUGCAUGUUUAUGCAUUUAAGAAUCUAGUUGUAGAUUCUAUAGGCAGUCGCAGGAUGUGUUUAGUUGGUUGCUUUCAAGGGAAAAUCAGUGUGUAUAUCCCUUGGUGCUUUAAUCUGAAAGUUUUCCUCCC